GAUCAUGGCUCAGGAUGAACGCUAGCGACAGGCUUAACACAUGCAAGUCGAGGGGCAGCGGGGUGUAGCAAUACACCGCCGGCGACCGGCGCACGGGUGAGUAACGCGUAUGCAACUUGCCUAUCAGAGGGGGAUAACCCGGCGAAAGUCGGACUAAUACCGCAUGAAGCAGGGAUCCCGCAUGGGAAUAUUUGUUAAAGAUUCAUCGCUGAUAGAUAGGCAUGCGUUCCA
rnacentral:rRNA from 1 species